GACGAACGCUGGCGGCGUGCUUAACACAUGCAAGUCGAACGGAAAGGCCCUGCUUUUGUGGGGUGCUCGAGUGGCGAACGGGUGAGUAACACGUGAGUAACCUGCCCUUGACUUUGGGAUAACUUCAGGAAACUGGGGCUAAUACCGGAUAGGAGCUCCUGCUGCAUGGUGGGGGUUGGAAAGUUUCGGCGGUUGGGGAUGGACUCGCGGCUUAUCAGCUUGUUGGUGGGGUAGUGGCUUACCAAGGCUUUGACGGGUAGCCGGCCUGGGAGGGUGACCGGCCACAUUGGGACUGAGAUACGGCCCAGACUCCUACGGGAGGCAGCAGUGGGGAAUAUUGCACAAUGGGCGGAAGCCUGAUGCAGCAACGCCGCGUGCGGGAUGACGGCCUUCGGGUUGUAAACCGCUUUCGCCUGUGACGAAGCGUGAGCGACGGUAAUGGGUAAAGAAGCACCGGCUAACUACGUG
rnacentral:rRNA from 1 species